rnacentral:misc_RNA from 1 species
CCUGUUGUUGAACCAUUUGACAAGUCAAGUGUCAAAACAACAACAAAUUAUAUUAAUAAAAUAUCUGUUUGACUUGGCUACCAAACCCAUUUCUCCCCAGUUGAAAUCAGAAAAAUUUGUUUUUACCAUAGUUAAUUGUAUAUAUAGUAGUAUUAUAAAAAUAUGUAUCAUAAUGAAUGCAUAUAUACAUGUAUUAAUGGACUGUAAUGUUUAACAUUAUUUUUGAAAUAAAUUUGUUUUACUCAGGCC